rnacentral:lncRNA from 1 species
ACCAAGUCAUCUGAGGACCCAUCAAAUCUCUGGACCAGUCACAGUCAUCGGGACUAAGUCACCAUAAAUCCGACUUGGGGAGUUCCGAAAUAAACGGAACCGGAGAUUACAUCACUAUCACAGGAACAUCCACUGAACGGAUGACAGCCAGAUCCUCUGAACCGGUACUUUCAAAUUCAACCCGGGGAUCCGAAAUAAACGGAACC